UCAGUGGCUGUCCAGACCUUUCAGAGCCACUCACACACCAGCAGCACAAUGAUGAUGUCACUGACUCUACUGCUGGCCACCCUGGGGCUCCUUGUUCAGGGUUCAUCAGCAUAAAUCAUCCUGACUCAGACUCCUAAAGCUCAGUCUGUUGUUCCAGGACAGACUGUCUCUAUCAGAUGUAAAUCCAGUACAACUAUAGGUGAUGACAUUAACUGGUACCUUCAGAAAUCUGGAAAAGCUCAGAAACUCCUGAUCUAUGAUACUACAGAGCGUCAGUCUGGAGUUCCAGAUCGUUUUCGGGCAACAGCA